rnacentral:rRNA from 1 species
UACGAAGGGGGCUAGCGUUGCUCGGAAUCACUGGGCGUAAAGCGCACGUAGGCGGAUCGUUAAGUCAGGGGUGAAAUCCUGGAGCUCAACUCCAGAACUGCCUUUGAUACUGGCGAUCUUGAGUUCGGGAGAGGUGAGUGGAACUGCGAGUGUAGAGGUGAAAUUCGUAGAUAUUCGCAAGAACACCAGUGGCGAAGGCGGCUCACUGGCCCGAUACUGACGCUGAGGCGCGAAAGCUAGGGGAGCAAACGGG